rnacentral:rRNA from 1 species
UACGAAGGGUGCAAGCGUUACUCGGAAUUACUGGGCGUAAAGCGUGCGCAGGCGGCUCCUUAAGUCAGAUGUGAAAUCCCCGGGCUUAACCUGGGAACUGCGUUUGAAACUGGGGAGCUAGAGUGUAGAAGAGGGGGGUGGAAUUCCAGGUGUAGCAGUGAAAUGCGUAGAGAUCUGGAGGAACACCGAUGGCGAAGGCAGCCCCCUGGGCUAACACUGACGCUCAUGCACGAAAGCGUGGGGAGCAAACAGG